UACGGAGGGGGCUAGCGUUGUCCGGAAUUACUGGGCGUAAAGCGCGCGUAGGCGGACCUGCAAGUCGGGGGUGAAAGCCCGAGGCUCAACCUUGGAACUGCCUUUGAUACUGCGGGUCUCGAGUCCGGUGGAGGUGAGUGGAAUUCCUAGUGUAGAGGUGAAAUUCGUAGAUAUUAGGAAGAACACCAGUGGCGAAGGCAGCUGACUGACCUGGUACUGACGCUGAGGCGCGAAAGCGUGGGGAGCAAACAGG
rnacentral:rRNA from 1 species